GCCCAGAGUCUUAAUCAAUAGCAGCAUCAGGAGAACGGUCUGGAAAGUCCGGCAGUAAAGGGUGAUAGCCCCGUAUCCGAAGAUGCUGUUAUUGUGAACUCGACGAGUAGGGCGGGACACGUGUUAUCCUGUCUGAAUAUGGGGGGACCAUCCUCCAAGGCUAAAUACUCCUGAUUGACCGAUAGUGAACCAGUACCGUGAGGGAAAGGCGAAAAGAACCCCGGCGAGGGGAGUGAAAAAGAACCUGAAACCGUGUACGUACAAGCAGUAGGAGCCCCAUCACUCAAGUGCCUCG
rnacentral:rRNA from 1 species